ACAGCACACUAACAGCACACUAAAAGCACCCUCACACACACAGCACACACACAGCAGCCUUCCACACACAGCACCCUUACACACACAGCACCCUCACAAACACACAGCACCCACACACACAGCACCUUCACAGCACACUACCAGCACUAUCACACACACACAGCACCCUCACACACACACGACACCCUCACAGCACAUUACCAGCACUCUCUCACACACAUACACAGCACCCUUACACACACACACACACACACACA